rnacentral:lncRNA from 1 species
ACUCAUAAGCCAGGACUUCCCAAGAGUGUCCCAUGGAACCUGAGUUCUAAGGACGGUACAUGAAAAAAAUCAACAUGGGUUCCAUGAUCAAAGAAGUUUGGGAAAUGGGCUAAAUGAAAGGACUUCCAAGGCCUUUUAUCUGCUAAUGAGAAAGGUGGUUUCCAAAAGGAAAAGCUUUGGGAGAUAGAAGUCCUCGUUUUGACCUCUGCCCUCCUUGUACACCAGGAGCCAGAAAAACUUCAUCUCUUUUACAAGAAACAUUGAGAUUCCUGUAAAAUUAAGAAAUCACACAAUUUGAUGGUCUACAUUAUCUAAAGCAAAUGAGACUUCUAUUUGGAACAAAGACUACCUUGUUGGGAAAUGAGUCUGCAAGUUAAAGUGUUUUCUGAAAGAUGGUAUCUGUAUCAUCUAGACUGUGUUUGCCCUGAGGAGAAACUAAGACAGACAUGCCCAAAGGCUGAACUCAAUAUCUUUGUAGAAAUUAUUAAAAGCAAUAUCACCUUUAGCCUUGUCAAGAACCUCUAACAAGACCUUUUCAGACCAAAGUGCCCUCAAUAUCAGAGCAUGUAGUCACCCACCCCAGGUUGACCCCGGAAGUAUGAGAGAGCUAAGGUGGGAGCCAGAGGCUGAGAGAAGAAAGGGGGUGACCUAGUUCAUGCCAAAUGAAUCUCACAAGCAAGACUAGAUUGUAAAAUCAGCAAAGUCGCUCACAGCUGCAUUAUGUCCUCCCUGAGCUCUGGGCACUUUUGCCUUUGUGACCUCCUUCCUCCAACAAUUAACAUUAAAAAUUGUAUUUUAUUAUAAAGACAAACAUAA